GAUGAACGCUGGCGGCGUGCUUAACACAUGCAAGUCGAACGAUGAAGCCGAGCUUGCUGGGUGUUUUAGUGGCGAACUGGUGGGUAAGACGUGAGUAACUUGCCCUUAACUCUGGGAUAAGCCUGGGAAACUGGGUCUUAUCCCGAAUACGAGCGUCGACCGCCUGGUGGGUGUUGGAAAGAUUUAGCGGUUUUGGGUGGACUCGCGGCCUAUCAGCUUGUUAGUGAGGUAAUGGCUCACCCACGCGACGACGGAUAUCCGACCCGGGAGGGUGACCGCGCACACGGCGACUGAGAGAGGGCGCAGUCGCGAAUAGUGGACAACAGGGGGAAAUAUUGUACAACGAGCCCAAGUCGGAUGCAGCGACGCUGCGUGAGGGAUGACGGCCUGCGGGGUAUAAACCUCUUUCGGUAGAGAAGAAGCGAAAGUGACGGUACCUGAAGAAGAAGCACCGGCUAACUACGUG
rnacentral:rRNA from 1 species